UACCGUCCUCGCUUGGCGCCUUGCGCCU
rnacentral:sRNA from 1 species